AAGUUGAAACACAAGCUGGGAGACCUAGAUUUGAGACUCGUUUUCGUGCUCCUUGCCUCUCUUCCCUCCACUCUUUAGGACCCUCCUGAUCUCCACCUACUUGUUGAAGAGGUGGGAUUCCUUGAUAUUAAGGUCCAGCACAGGCAAGUUAAAACCCUAACAUCUUAACACAGCCCUCACACGUCAGAUUAUCUCCUAAGCAUAUCUUCCAUCUGAAAUUCGUUUUUGUACAAUUAAUUAUUUCUAUGGAGGGAUUGAAAGAAUGCGAAGCAAACUUGGUGGUGUAUCUCCACCCAUCCAUGGCCAAAUGCGUUAACGAUGCUAUCCUCCGCGAGCUAAGCUCUCUACUCUUCACAUACAAUGAGACUUUUGAUGGUGUUGUAUUGGCGUAUGAUCCGAAUGUACGAAGUAAUUUGGCAAAGAUUCUUCCUGGAAUUCAUCCGUAUCUCGGUGUGAGGUUAAAAGCAAAAUUGUUGCUUUUUAGUCCCAAGCCUAAUAUGCUUUUAGAAGGAGAGGUAGUUAAAAUUGGUAGACAGUCAAUUCAUGCUGUCAUUCUUGGUUUUUCAUCUGCUGUUAUAGCAGAUGAAGACAUUCGCGAUGAAUUCAAGUGUAAAGUUAAACAUGGUAAGGAAGUGUUUGUUAGCCGACGUCACAAGAAACACAAGAUCAAAGUUGGAACCAUAAUACGAUUUUUAGUCAAGAGCUUUGACGAAGAGAUACUCCACAUUUCUGGUUCUUUGGCUACUGCCAAUGCGGGAUGCGCGCGAUGGUUAGAUACAAAUUUGGAAGAAUGGUCUCAAGCUGACAGUACCCCUAGGAAGAGGAAAGAUAGGGAUGAGAAGGCGGAAAAGACUGCAGAUGACAAAUUAAUGGCCAGUAGGGAUAUCCCUUCCUUGAAAAAAGAUGACAGAAUUAAGAAGUUGAAGAAGAAGAGAAAAGAACAUACAUGAAGUUUACUACUGAUUUGCAUAUGCAUUCAUUCUCAAGACGCGUGACUUAGAAGUUGGGAUUUUAUAAUCUGAAGAACGAAGAAGCAUUGUGACAAAAACUCUUAUGUAGCUGAGACUUUUAACAUGCUUCCCACGCCCGGCCCAAUUAAUAAGUUUUAUGGUAAGAGGCAUUUGUAGUCUUUUAUAUUGAAUUGUGAAGAGCAGUGGAUUUGGGAAUAUUUCUUUAGUUUAUCUUUCUCAUCAUUUGUCUGACCUACUUCUGGGAUCCCUUCUUUUCCCCCUCUUCUUUCUGGUAAGCUGUGACUGUGAACAUGGAUUUCAAAGAUCUCUGUAAGAUAUUAUUCCAAUUUUAUAUUUCCUUAGACCUAGACAA